CCUACGGGUGGCUGCAGUGGGGAAUAUUGCACAAUGGGGGAAACCCUGAUGCAGCAACGCCGCGUGAGCGAUGAAGGCCUUCGGGUGGAAAAGCCCUGUCCUAAGGGAGGAAUACUACGGGUACCUAGGGAGGAGGCCCCGGCUAACUCCGUGCCAGCGGCCGCGGUAAUAGUAGGGGGGCUAGGGUUAUCCGGAUUUACGGGGGGUAAAGGGUGGGUAGGCGGCCCUUAAAGUCAGAGGUGAAGGGCUACGGCUCAACCGUAGUAAGCCUUUGAAACUGUAGGGCUUGAGUGCAGGAGAGGAGAGUGGAAUUCCCAGUGUAGCGGUGAAAUGCGUAGAUAUUGGGAGGAACACCAGUUGCGAAGGCGGCUCUCUGGACUGUAACUGACGCUGAGGCACGAAAGCGUGGGGAGCGAACAGGAUUAGAUACCCCUGUAGUC
rnacentral:rRNA from 1 species